AAACUAAUUUAUAAAGAACAAUAAAAUUAGUGAUUUAUAAAUUAAUAAAAUAAAAUUUUCAAUUUAUAGAGAAUAAUACUGUGUUAUCAACGAAAAAAGUCAUUAACUAGUUUUAAAUCAUGGUUUGAUUUGACUUUUUACCUAUUUUCUCUAUAAAAUUGUAAUUCAAACUAUUUACAAUGCAUUUUAUAAUGCCAAUACUUAUGUUCCAACCACAAAUAAGAUAAUUUUAAUAUCAACCAACAGAAAGGUACAGUUGAUCUAAUCUGCUUUGGUUUAUUUUAAAAAUAAUUAUUCAACAUAUAGCAUGAGUCACGAAAAGAGUAACAUUAUCACAUUGGUAGGAGAAGAAGUGUAUAAAGAAAUUAAAAAGAAGAGAAGCAUUUUGGGAAUCAAAUGAAUGUACACUUGAGAGGUCAAAAUGUUGAUGAAAAACUGAUAAAAUUAAAGUGGUAGUAAGCGGUAGUUGACAUUUAAUUCUAGUUUACAAAGCAAAUACUUAUAUUAAUAGGACUGCAAAUUUGUAAUAACUAAAGAAAAUAAUAAAUCACAUGGAAAAGAUUUGUGAAAUCUUUUGGCGGUGCACUAGAAAAGCAGGAACAUGACUGUCUUCUGUUGUAAAAUACUACAUGAACCACCAUUGCAUUUAAUUUUACAUAUUUAAAAUGAUUAGUAGUUUUAUCCAUUUAAGAGAUUAGACAAUUAGUUUAA
rnacentral:lncRNA from 1 species